rnacentral:rRNA from 1 species
GAUGAACGCUGGCGGCGUGCCUAAUACAUGCAAGUCGAGCGAACGGACGAGAAGCUUGCUUCUCUGAUGUUAGCGGCGGACGGGUGAGUAACACGUGGAUAACCUACCUAUAAGACUGGGAUAACUUCGGGAAACCGGAGCUAAUACCGGAUAAUAUUUUGAACCGCAUGGUUCAAAAGUGAAAGACGGUCUUGCUGUCACUUAUAGAUGGAUCCGCGCUGCAUUAGCUAGUUGGUAAGGUAACGGCUUACCAAGGCAACGAUGCAUAGCCGACCUGAGAGGGUGAUCGGCCACACUGGAACUGAGACACGGUCCAGACUCCUACGGGAGGCAGCAGUAGGGAAUCUUCCGCAAUGGGCGAAAGCCUGACGGAGCAAUGCCGCGUGAGUGAUGAAGGUCUUCGGAUCGUAAAACUCUGUUAUUAGGGAAGAACAUAUGUGUAAGUAACUGUGCACAUCUUGACGGUACCUAAUCAGAAAGCCACGGCUAACUACGUGCCAGCAGCCGCGGUAAUACGUAGGUGGCAAGCGUUAUCCGGAAUUAUUGGGCGUAAAGCGCGCGUAGGCGGUUUUUUAAGUCUGAUGUGAAAGCCCACGGCUCAACCGUGGAGGGUCAUUGGAAACUGGAAAACUUGAGUGCAGAAGAGGAAAGUGGAAUUCCAUGUGUAGCGGUGAAAUGCGCAGAGAUAUGGAGGAACACCAGUGGCGAAGGCGACUUUCUGGUCUGUAACUGACGCUGAUGUGCGAAAGCGUGGGGAUCAAACAGGAUUAGAUACCCUGGUAGUCCACGCCGUAAACGAUGAGUGCUAAGUGUUAGGGGGUUUCCGCCCCUUAGUGCUGCAGCUAACGCAUUAAGCACUCCGCCUGGGGAGUACGACCGCAAGGUUGAAACUCAAAGGAAUUGACGGGGACCCGCACAAGCGGUGGAGCAUGUGGUUUAAUUCGAAGCAACGCGAAGAACCUUACCAAAUCUUGACAUCCUUUGACAACUCUAGAGAUAGAGCCUUCCCCUUCGGGGGACAAAGUGACAGGUGGUGCAUGGUUGUCGUCAGCUCGUGUCGUGAGAUGUUGGGUUAAGUCCCGCAACGAGCGCAACCCUUAAGCUUAGUUGCCAUCAUUAAGUUGGGCACUCUAAGUUGACUGCCGGUGACAAACCGGAGGAAGGUGGGGAUGACGUCAAAUCAUCAUGCCCCUUAUGAUUUGGGCUACACACGUGCUACAAUGGACAAUACAAAGGGCAGCGAAACCGCGAGGUCAAGCAAAUCCCAUAAAGUUGUUCUCAGUUCGGAUUGUAGUCUGCAACUCGACUACAUGAAGCUGGAAUCGCUAGUAAUCGUAGAUCAGCAUGCUACGGUGAAUACGUUCCCGGGUCU